AAUUUUGGACAUGGGGGGAAACCCUGAUCUAGCCAUCCCGCGUGUAUGAUGAAGGCCUUCGGGUUGUAAAGUACUUUUCGCAGAGAAGAAAAGGUAUCUCCUAAUACGCGAAACUGUUGACUGUAUCUGCAGUAUAAGCACCUGCUAUCUACGUGCCAGCGUCCGAGGUAAUACUUUGGGUGCAAGCGUUAAUCGGAAUUACUGGGCGUAAAGAGUGUGUAGGCGGUUCGGACAGAAAGAUGAAAUAUCCCAGGGCUCAACCUUGGAACUGCAUUUUUAACUGCCGAGCUAGAGUAUGUCAGAGGGGGGUAGAAUUCCACGUGUAGCAGUGAAAUGCGUAGAUAUGUGGAGGAAUACCGACGGCGAAGGCAGCCCCCUGGGAUAAUACUGACGCUCAGACACGAAAGCGUGGGGAGCAAACAGG
rnacentral:rRNA from 1 species